UGUGUGGCUGUGAGGAGUGGGGAUCAUGUAGUUUUCGCGGUUUUAGUUGGUGAGACUCUAGGGUGGGGUUGGGUUUGCAACCUCCGGGUUCGAGUACACAGACAGAAUAUGAAUUUCAAAAAAAUACUGACCCUGCCCCCGCGGAAGAGAUCUCAGUUGGAUUCCGACCUACGGAAGGCCAGAAGGACCAGGCUUAUCAGUGCCGCCAAAUGCGUGCCAGGCGAGGAUGCGCAGCUAAGUGGCGCCGCCUGUUUCCCUCGGCUCUUUACUGACCGAGCCUCCUCUGACUCCCCUGUGCCCAGAGCAUCUUAGCACCCCGGCUUCUUCCCUGCUUUUCCUCUUCAGGAGUCGUCCAUCUAGACUUGAAAGGGCCGAAGGCAGCCCUGGGAGGUGGAAAGGCCAGCCGCCCGGUCCCAAUGCCCGCUGCCCAGCCUCGAUCCUCGCCCCUGCCUCUGAUGGGCUUGGGCGAGAGAUAAACCUCUCUGGGGUUAGAAGCCUUGUCAACAGGAAGUGAAUUCCUCCUAUCAAAUACAGUCUUCUGUUGAUUGUCUCCUUGCAAGAAGCAGAUGGCUUCCAAACGCCGCAGAGGACACUGAGGCCGACGCACCAAAAGCUGCCUUUGCACUUCAACUGUAUGAAGCUGAAGGGGACUCAGCAGAAGACUGAGGUGAGCCAUCUGCAAAUAAUGACCCACCUCAGGAAAAAGUAGGAAUGCAAAUCAGAGAUCUGUCCUGGGCCUACCCCCAGUCCUCACCUUUCCCAAGACCCCUCACAGUGGAAGUACCUGACACACUAAGGGGCCAGGAGCUCACCUCUACCAUCACCCGUGAACUUCUGGGGGAGCCCAGUCUUCCCCAGGCCCCCACUGUGAAUGAGUCAACUCUUUUUCUGGUUUAUAAGUCCCACUCCUCAGCGUGACCAGCGCACAGUGCUCCUGAAGCCUUACUUUUCACCUCUCAGGGUCUUCUAACGGUAGCAAGGAGGUGUCGCUGAGUGCCACCAAUGGACCAAAUGCUCCAAACAUCCUCAUCUCCCCCCCUCCCCCUUGUCUUCUCUUUGGACUGUCCUUAGAAAACAAGACAUAAAGCACUUUUUUUCCCUUAAUUUCUUUCCUCAAACUUACCUCUAUUUUUUUUUUUCCUUAAGGCUUCAUGGGGCCAGGGCUUCUAAAACUGGUCUGGACCUUUAAUAUGAUCUUCAAGAAUUGUGUAGAACUUACCAG